GGGCAGAUACCGAAGCGGUUAAACGGGGCAGACUGUAAAUCUGCUAGGGAAUCCUUACGGAGGUUCGAAUCCUUCUCUGCCCA
rnacentral:tRNA from 1 species